rnacentral:lncRNA from 1 species
UUGUUGGUGACUUGUGGUCCUGUUGGUGACUUGGUUUCUCAGAUUGGGUUCAGAUGACAGUUUAUCAGAUGACUUUGGGUUUCAGAUAAAUUGUGGUUCCGAGUUCAAGCCGAAGCUUUGAUCCUGUGUUCAGAGAUGGAACAGCCUGCCAGUCUUGUCUGCAUCAUGUGCAUCAUAGCAUGUUUAUUUUCAAAAAGAUACGCAAUAAAAAAGGGUUAAAAAAAGAAAAAG